UCGCUUCACUCCCUCCUUACUCGUCCCCUUAUUCCUCCGCAUCUCUGGAUCCGGCCAUUGCUGACCCUCUACUUGCCCCGUCGUCGUUCCUUGGGUGCCGACCGGUGGAUGGGUGUCUGAGCUAGCGCCCACCUGCCGAUGCGAGAUGCAGCUUCCCGGAGAUCCACCGCAAGCCGCCGCCACAUCUCCUCCUCCUCGAACCCUGAUUCGAGUCCUCCAUUAAGGAGGUGGCAUUGUUGGUACUCUUGCCACGGCCAAAGCAGCGGUUGCAGCUAUGGUACUUCCAGGAGGAUGGAAAUAUGUGGUUUCUUCUUGGAAAGCAAAUAUCCAAACAUUGUCCGAUGAUGCCACAACAGAUCAGCCUCUCAAGAUGUAUGUGUGGGAUCUAGAUGAAAUGCUUAUUCUGCGCAAGGCGCUGCAGAUGGGUUGUUUGCUGGGAAUUUUGAAGGCCUCAAGAUUCAUGAAAGAGGCACUGAAGUAAGCAAGCAUUGGGAUACCAUUGUUCUUGAACUCUGCGAUGAGCCCUUCUUGUAUGAGGAGGUCAGACAACACCUCGAAUCUUGUCUGCUGACAGCUUACUAGAGAAAUGCAUUUUUGUAUGCUUGUCAGUUGUCAUUGUGCCUAAAAUACCAAAACUGUACCACUUUUCUUCUUUUGAUGUUAUGGAUAAGCCAUAUCUAG